CCUACGGGGGGCAGCAGUGAGGAAUAUUGGUCAAUGGCCGAGAGGCUGAACCAGCCAAGUCGCGUGAGGGAAGACGGCCCUACGGGUUGUAAACCUCUUUUGUCGGGGAGCAAAGAGAGUCACGUGUGACUCAUUGAGAGUACCCGAAGAAAAAGCAUCGGCUAACUCCGUGCCAGCAGCCGCGGUAAUACGGAGGAUGCGAGCGUUAUCCGGAUUUAUUGGGUUUAAAGCGUUCGUAGGCGGCAAGGUAAGUCUGAUGUGAAAGCCCGGGGCUCAACUCCGGUUCGGCAUUGGAUACUAUCUAGCUAGAAUGUGGUAGAGGUAAAGGGAAUUCCUGGUGUAGCGGUGAAAUGCGUAGAUAUCAGGAGGAACAUCGGUGGCGAAAGCGCUUUACUGGACCAUUAUUGACGCUGAGGAACGAAAGCCAGGGGAGCAAAUGGGAUUAGAUACCCCUGUAGUC
rnacentral:rRNA from 1 species